rnacentral:rRNA from 1 species
UACGGGAGGCAGCAGUGGGGAAUAUUGCACAAUGGGCGAAAGCCUGAUGCAGCUAUGCCGCGUGUAUGAAGAAGGCCUUAGGGUUGUAAAGUACUUUCAUCGGGGAGGAAAAAACAAAACUAAUAAUUUUAUUUCUUGACGUUACCCGAAAAAGAAGCACCGGCUAACUCCGUGCCAGCAGCCGCGGUAAUACGGAGGGUGCUAGCGUUAAUCAGAAUUACUGGGCGUAAAGAGCACGUAGGUGGUUUUUUUAAGUCAGAUGUGAAAUCCCUGGGCUUAACCUGGAACUGCAUUUUGAAACUGAAAUACUAGAGUAUCGUAGAGGGAGGUAGAAUUCUAGGUGUAGCGGUGAAAUGCGUAGAUAUCUGGAGGAAUACCUGUGGCGAAAGCGGCCUCCUAAACGAAUACUGACACUGAGGUGCGAAAGCGUUGGGGAGCAAACGAGGAUUAGAUACC